AUUGAACACUGGCGGCAGGCCUAACACAUGCAAGUCGAACGAGUGGCGGACGGGUGAGUAAUGUCUGGGAAACUGACCGAUGGAGGGGGAUAACUACUGGAAACGGUAGCUAAUACCGCAUACCAUCGGAUGUGCCAAGAUGGGAUUGGCGAGUAGGGGGGGUAACGGCUCACCUAGGCGACGAUCCCUCGAGUGUCUGAGAGGAUGAUCAGACACAAGGGAACGGAGACACGGUCCAGACUCCUACGGGAGGCAGCAUUGGGGAAUAUUGCACAAUGGGCGCAAGCCUGAUGCAGCCAUGCCGCGUGUAUGAAGAAGGCCUUCGGGUUGUAAAGUACUUUCAGCGAGGAGGCGUUACUCGCAGAAGAAGCACCGGCUAACUCCGUGCCAGCAGCCGCGGUAAUAC
rnacentral:rRNA from 1 species